UUCAUCGGAAUCGGGUCUGGCCUCACUAACCCGACUCCACACGAACAAAAAUCGUAAGAAAAUAAAAUAACAAUAAAAAAAAAAAAAACUUUACGCAUUCCUGCACUUGCGCCCUUGGUCUGACGACAACGAAAAGUAUUUCGAGGCUAUAAAAAUUAGGUUAAUUGUGUCGUUAAAUGUGAAAAUUAAACAACAAAAACAAGAACACUAUAGCUGCGAGUUUGAGCCAGAGCAGCGCUCGUCGAUACAUCAAACCCAAAACCACCCGAGAUGGCGGCGGCGGAGGACAUUGACUGAAAAACUACGUGUACAGUUCUCGAACUCGUGAGCUACAUCAACUACGUCGGUUAAACACAUUUACCGAAAAUAGAUAAAGGACAACUUAACAAUCAAAUCAACUAUAAUAUUUGUCAUGGUAGAAACACGGGAUCGUCGUGCUUGAUUAUAGACAGGUAUAACUUCUCUAAUAACUGAUGGAAAUUAUAAUAUACACCGUAUGGAUGCACGUUAUGGUUGCAAUGUCUAGAUACAAGUAUUAUUCAUAUUUUAUAAUGCCAUUAUGACUAUGAUGUACACAAUACGUAUAAUAUUAAGAUAUCUCAUUAUAAUUAUAUGGACGCAUAAAUGGAUAUUAUACGACGUUAGUUAGCACGAAUUUAAUAUGAAUUGAUGUAUAAUAUUAUUGCUAUCAGAUUUGAAACGGCAACAACCAGAGAACGUCAAGCAACGAAGUCAAUUAUUAUGCUGCAUUUAACCACGAUGCAUUAAGCAUUUGCAUAAUUACAAACCGUCCUGUACGUCUCAAACUGUGAAAAACAAAAUA